rnacentral:misc_RNA from 1 species
GAAAUGCGAUAAGUAAUGUGAAUUGCAGAAUUCAGUGAAUCAUCGAAUCUUUGAACGCAUCUUGCGCUCCUUGGUAUUCCUUGGAGCAUGCCUGUUUGAGUAUCAUGAAAUUUUCAAAGUAAAUCUUUUGUUAACUCAAUUGGUUUCUACUUUGGUAUUGGAGGUCUUUGCAGCUUCACACCUGCUCCUCUUUGUUCAUUAGCUGGAUCUCAGUGUUAUGCUUGGUUCCACUCGGCGUGAUAAGUUAUCUAUCGCUGAGGACACUGUAAAAGGUGGCCAAGGUAAAUGCAGAUGAACCGCUUCUAAUAGUCCAUUGACUUGGACAAUACUUUUAUGAUCUGAUCUCAAAUCAGGUAGGACUACCCGCUGAACUUAAGC